UGGGCGCGUAGCUCAGAUGGUUAGAGCGCACGCCUGAUAAGCGUGAGGUCGAUGGUUCGAUUCCAUUCGUGCCCAU
rnacentral:tRNA from 1 species